CCUACGGGUGGCUGCCGUGAGGAAUAUUGGUCAAUGGCCGUAAGGCUGAACCCGCCAAGUAGCGUGAGGGAAGACUGCCCUAUGGGUUGUAAACCUCUUUUAUGCGGGGAUAAAGGUGUCCACGCGUGGAUGUUUGCAGGUACCGCAUGCAUAAGGACAGGCUAAUUCCGAGCCAGCAGCUGCGGCAAUACGGAAGGUCCGGGCGUGAUCCGUAUGUAUUGGGUUUAAAGGGAGCGUAGGCCGUUCUUUAAGCGUGCCGUGAAAUUUUGUGGCUCAACCAUGAGAGUGUGGCGCGAACUGGAGACCUUGAGUGCGCGGAAGGCAGGCGGAAUUCGUGGUGUAGCGGUGAAAUGCUUAGAUAUCACGAAGAACCCCGAUUGCGAAGGCAGCCUGCCGCAGCGUUACUGACGCUGAAGCUCGAAAGCGCGGGUAGCGAACAGGAUUAGAUACCCUUGUAGUC
rnacentral:rRNA from 1 species